UUGUGUGAUGUGUUUCCAGGUAAUGUUGUGUGAUAUGUUUCCAGGUAAUGUUGUGUGAUAUGUUUCCAGGUAAUGUCGUGUGAUAUGUUUCGAGGUAAUGUUGUGCGAUAUGUUUCCAGAUAAUGUUGUGUGAUAUGUUUCCAGGUAAUGUUGUGUGAUAUGUUUCCAGGUAAUGUUGUGUGAUAUGUUUCCAGGUAAUGUUGUGUGAUAUGUAUCCUUUCCAGGUAAUAUCGUGUGAUAUGUUUCCAGGUAAUGUUUUGUGAUAUGUUUCCUGGUAAUGCUGUGUGAUAUAUUUUCAGGUAAUGUCGUGAUGUGUUUCCAGGUAAUGUUGUGUGAUAUGUUUCCAGGUAAUGUCGUGUGAUAUGUUUUCAGGUAAUGUCGUGUGAUAUGUUUCCAGGUAAUGUCGUGUGAUAUGUUUCCAGGUAAUGUCGUGUGAUAUGUUUCCAGGUAAUGUCGUGUGAUAUGUUU